rnacentral:rRNA from 1 species
ACGAACGCUGGCGGCGUGGAUAAGACAUGCAAGUCGAACGAGAGAAUUGCUAGCUUGCUAAUAAUUCUCUAGUGGCGCACGGGUGAGUAACACGUGAGUAACCUGCCCCCGAGAGCGGGAUAGCCCUGGGAAACUGGGAUUAAUACCGCAUAGUAUCGAAAGAUUAAAGCAGCAAUGCGCUUGGGGAUGGGCUCGCGGCCUAUUAGUUAGUUGGUGAGGUAACGGCUCACCAAGGCGAUGACGGGUAGCCGGUCUGAGAGGAUGUCCGGCCACACUGGAACUGAGACACGGUCCAGACACCUACGGGUGGCAGCAGUCGAGAAUCAUUCACAAUGGGGGAAACCCUGAUGGUGCGACGCCGCGUGGGGGAAUGAAGGUCUUCGGAUUGUAAACCCCUGUCAUGUGGGAGCAAAUUAAAAAGAUAGUACCACAAGAGGAAGAGACGGCUAACUCUGUGCCAGCAGCCGCGGUAAUACAGAGGUCUCAAGCGUUGUUCGGAAUCACUGGGCGUAAAGCGUGCGUAGGCUGUUUCGUAAGUCGUGUGUGGAAGGCGCGGGCUCAACCCGCGGACGGCACAUGAUACUGCGAGACUAGAGUAAUGGAGGGGGAACCGGAAUUCUCGGUGUAGCAGUGAAAUGCGUAGAUAUCGAGAGGAACACUCGUGGCGAAGGCGGGUUCCUGGACAUUAACUGACGCUGAGGCACGAAGGCCAGGGGAGCGAAAGGGAUUAGAUACCCCUGUAGUCCUGGCAGUAAACGGUGCACGCUUGGUGUGCGGGGAAUCGACCCCCUGCGUGCCGGAGCUAACGCGUUAAGCGUGCCGCCUGGGGAGUACGGUCGCAAGAUUAAAACUCAAAGAAAUUGACGGGGACCCGCACAAGCGGUGGAGUAUGUGGCUUAAUUCGAUGCAACGCGAAGAACCUUACCUGGGCUUGACAUGUAAUGAACAACAUGUGAAAGCAUGCGACUCUUCGGAGGCGUUACACAGGUGCUGCAUGGCCGUCGUCAGCUCGUGUCGUGAGAUGUUUGGUUAAGUCCAGCAACGAGCGCAACCCCUGUUGCCAGUUACCAGCACGUGAAGGUGGGGACUCUGGCGAGACUGCCCAGAUCAACUGGGAGGAAGGUGGGGACGACGUCAGGUCAGUAUGGCCCUUAUGCCCAGGGCUGCACACGUACUACAAUGCCCAGUACAGAGGGGGCCGAAGCCGCGAGGCGGAGGAAAUCCUAAAAACUGGGCCCAGUUCGGACUGUAGGCUGCAACCCGCCUACACGAAGCCGGAAUCGCUAGUAAUGGCGCAUCAGCUACGGCGCCGUGAAUACGUUCCCGGGUCUUGUACACACCGCCCGUCACAUCAUGGAAGCCGGUCGCACCCGAAGUAUCUGAAGCCAACCGCAAGGAGGCAGGGUCCUAAGGUGAGACUGGUAACUGGGAUG